CAACUCAAAUUCAACUCAACUCAAACUUUAUUCAUAAAGCAUUUUCAACACCACGACUAGAACCAAAGUGCUGUACAGAGAAAGAUGAG